rnacentral:rRNA from 1 species
GACGAACGCUGGCGGCGUGCUUAACACAUGCAAGUCGAACGGAAAGGCCCUGCUUUUGUGGGGUGCUCGAGUGGCGAACGGGUGAGUAACACGUGAGUAACCUGCCCUUGACUUUGGGAUAACUUCAGGAAACUGGGGCUAAUACCUGAUAGGAGCUCCUGCUGCAUGGUGGGGGUUGGAAAGUUUCGGCGGUUGGGGAUGGACUCGCGGCUUAUCAGCUUGUUGGUGGGGUAGUGGCUUACCAAGGCUUUGACGGGUAGCCGGCCUGAGAGGGUGACCGGCGACAUUGGGACUGAGAUACGGACCAGACGCCAACGGGAGGCAGCAGUGGGGAGUAUUGCACAAUGGGCGGAAGCGUGAUGCAGAAACGCCGCGUGCGGGAUGACGGCCUUCGGGUUGUAAACCGCUUUCGCCUGUGACGAAGCGUGAGUGACGGUAAUGGGUAAAGAAGCACCGGCUAACUACGUG